GGUGAGGUGGCUGAGUGGCUGAAGGCGCACGCCUGGAAAGUGUGUUUAGGUUAAUCCCUAACGAGGGUUCGAAUCCCUCCCUCCCCGCCA
rnacentral:tRNA from 1 species